GAUGAACGCUAGCUACAGGCUUAACACAUGCAAGUCGAGGGGUAACGAGAGGAAAGCUUGCUUUCCUUGUCGACGACCGGCGCACGGGUGAGUAACGCGUAUCCAACCUGCCCCCAACUAGGGAAUAACCUUGCGAAAGUAAGACUAAUACCCUAUAAUUUCCUCAGAUGUCAUCUGACGAGGAAUAAAGAUUUAUCGGUUGUGGAUGGGGAUGCGUCUGAUUAGCUUGUUGGCGGGGUAACGGCCCACCAAGGCAACGAUCAGUAGGGGUUCUGGGAGGAAGGUCCCCCACAUUGGAACUGAGACACGGUCCAAACUCCUACGGGAGGCAGCAGUGAAGAAUAUUGGUCAAUGGGCGGAAGCCUGAACCAGCCAAGUAGCGUGCAGGAUGACGGCCCUAUGGGUUGUAAACUGCUUUUAUACAGGAAUAAAGUUAGCCACGUGUGGUUAUUUGUAGGUACUGUAUGAAUAAGGACCGGCUAAUUCCGUGCCAGCAGCCGCAGUAA
rnacentral:rRNA from 1 species